AUUUACGGAGAGUUUGAUCCUGGCUCAGAACGAACGCUGGCGGCGUGCUUAAUACAUGCAAGUCGAACGAGAAAUUCCGGCUUCGGUUGGAAGAGUAAAGUGGCGAACGGGUGAGUAACACGUGGACAACUUGCCCUUGGAUCUGGGAUAAUCUCCCGAAAGGGGGUCUAAUACCGGGUAACAUCUCCUGGCGGCAUCGUCGGGAGAUCAAAGGCGGAGCAAUCUGCCGUCCAAGGAUGGGUCCGCGGUCCAUUAGCUUGUUGGCGGGGUAACGGCCCACCAAGGCGACGAUGGAUAGCCGGCCUGAGAGGGUGAUCGGCCACACUGGGACUGAGAUACGGCCCAGACUCCUACGGGAGGCAGCAGUAGGGAAUA
rnacentral:rRNA from 1 species